AUGGCCUUCAUCAUCACCAUCACUAUCACUACCAUCAUCAUUGUCACCAACACCAUAAUUAUUAUCACCACCACCACCAGCAGCAGCACCAUCAGCACCACCACCAUUACCACCACCAUCAUAAUCACCACCAACACCAUUACCAUCAUCAUCACCAACACCAUCAUCAUUAUCAUCACCACCACCAUUGACACCACCACCGGCACCACCAUUACCAUCUUUAUCACCACCACCAUCACCAUCCACACUACCAUCACCAUCAUCACCACCAUCACUAUCACCACCACCACCAUCAUCACCACCAUCACUAUCACCACCACCACCAUCACCACCAUCACUAUCACCACCACCAUCAUCACCAUCACUGUCACCACCACCACCAUCAUCACCACCAUCACUAUCACCACCACCAUCAUCACCACCAUCACUAUCACCACCACCACCAUCACCACCAUCACUAUCACCACCACCAUCAUCACCACCAUCACUAUCACCAACACCACCACCAUCACCACCAUCACUAUCACCACCAGCACCAUCAUCACCACCAUCACUAUCACCACCACCAUCAUUACCAUCACUGUCACCACCACCACCAUCAUCACCACCAUCACUAUCACCACCACCAUCAUCAUCACCACCAUCACUAUCACCACCACCAUCAUCACCACCAUCACUAUCACCACCACCAUCAUCAUCACCACCAUCACUAUCACCACCACCACCAUCAUCACCAUCACUAUCACCACCACCAUCAUUACCAUCACUGUCACCACCACCACCAUCAUCACCACCAUCACCAUCAUCACCACCAUCACUAUCACCACCACCACCAUCAUCACCACCAUCACUCACCACCACCAUCACCACCAUCACUAUCACCACCAUCACUAUCACCACCACCACCAUCAUCACCAUCACUACCACCACCACCACCAUCAUCACUACCAUCACUAUCACCACCACCACUAUCACCACACCACCACUAUCACCACCACCAUCACUAUCACCACCACCACUAUCACCACCACCAUCACUAUCACCACCAUCACUUCACCACCGCCAUCAUUACCAUCACUGUCACCACCACCACCAUCAUCACCACCAUCACUCACCACCACCAUCACCAUCACUAUCACCACCAUCACUAUCACCACCACCACUAUCACCACCACCAUCACUAUCACCACCAUCACUUCACCACCACCAUCAUUACCAUCACUGUCACCACCACCACCAUCAUCACCACCAUCACUCACCACCACCAUCACCACCAUCACUAUCACCACCAUCACUAUCACCAUCACCACUAUCACCACCACCAUCACUAUCACCACCACCACUAUCACCACCACCAUCACUAUCACCACCAUCACUUCACCACCACCACCAUCAUCACCACCACUAUCACCACCACCACUAUUGCCACAAACACUGUCACCACCACCACCAUCCCUACCACCAUCACCACCAUCAUCACCACCAUCACUAUCACCAACACCAUAA
rnacentral:lncRNA from 1 species